UACGUAGGGGGCUAGCGUUGUCCGGAAUCAUUGGGCGUAAAGAGCGCGUAGGCGGCCCGAUAAGUCUGCUGUGAAAGUCCAGGGCUCAACCCUGGAAUGCCAGUGGAUACUGUCGGGCUAGAGUACGGAAGAGGCGAGUGGAAUUCCUGGUGUAGCGGUGGAAUGCGCAGAUAUCAGGAGGAACACCAAUGGCGAAGGCAGCUCGCUGGGACGUUACUGACGCUGAGGCGCGAAAGCGUGGGGAGCAAACAGG
rnacentral:rRNA from 1 species